GAUGAAGAACGCAGCGAAAUGCGAUAAGUAAUGUCAAUUGCAGAAUUCAGUGAAUCAUCGAAUCUUUGAACGCACAUUGCGCCCGCCAGUAUUCUGGCGGGCAUGCCUGUUCGAGCGUCAUUUCAACCAUCAAGCCCCCCGGCUUGUGUUGGGGACCUGCGGCUGCCGCAGGCCCUGAAAAGCAGUGGCGGGCUCGCUGUCACACCGAGCGUAGUAGCAUACAUCUCGCUCUGGGCGUGCUGCGGGUUCCGGCCGUUAAACCACCUUCAUAACCCAAGGUUGACCUCGGAUCAGGUAGGAAGACCCGCUGAACUUAAGCAUAUCAAUAAGCGGAGGA
rnacentral:misc_RNA from 1 species